AUCAUGUUCCUCGUACACUGCACCAGCACCACUGCUUCCCUUCCCAGUGAGAACCCGAUCAAGCUUUAUCAUGCAGCCCAGAAGGGUGGGGGAAAGAAAAAGAAUUAGGAGAAAAUGUUGUAAAAGUAAUGAGAUAAUAUGAGAAUGUGCUUUGGGAACUGCGAAUCUGGAGUCACUGGUCCAUGAGGAAUCUAGGAUAAGAAGAAGGAAGCUGUGAAGAAUGGUUGGCUAACAGUGCUGGCAAGGAAUUCAGAUCAACAUACCUCUCAAAAGAAUGGAAGUCUCUUAAACUCAGGAUUUGGAUUGCCAUGGGAACUUUUCAGAAUGGACUUUCACAAAAGCUUUGCUCUGAGAGCAUGGAAGUUGGCUACAACGUUGCCUGGGAACAAUACAAAGGAGGAUGGUUUUGAAUGUCAGUAACUUUUCUGAAUAUCCAGCCUACAAAAUAAAACUUUUUCUUUAAUUGUAAAGUAACAAAAGACCUCUGUAAAUAUUUGAAAAAGAAUAGAGAAAAUUAAACCAUACCAUUCAGAUAUAUAUAAGUUUAAGUUGUCGGUGUUUUUCCUUCCAGUCUGUGUUUUUAAGCAGAACAUGAAUAAAUAUAUGCAUACA
rnacentral:lncRNA from 1 species